AAACUGCCGUAUUUACCGCUGCGGACGGCGGUAGUUGCAGUAAACCGCCUAUAUCCAAUAGAGCUGAUUGGAAGAAAGCAGAGAAUGGUUGUCCUGGUUUCUUUGGACACCUAAUUAGUAGUUAAAAAUAAAAGAAACAACAUAAUAAGAUUAAAAUAGGGCGAAAUACUAUGGAGUGUCGAGGUUGUACCCCGAAGUUUUCAGCAGACCCAAUAAGAUGCCGAGAUUCCUGGAGCAGCUAGGGUGACAUGAAUAGGACGCACUACACGCAAAAUAAGCGCCUAGACGUCGAGUUGUGGAUACCAAACGUUAACCGUUACACCAAAAUUCAUAUCAAUGUAAAUUUUGCUUUGAAUUGCCCACAUAAAAUAAUUGUUAAAAUUAGAUUUAACGUGAAUAGUGGUGCGAAUUAUGCAAGUAGCCGUUAAAUGGCCCAGCUGCGGGUGGUGUUGGCAACAGAGUGACAGCGGAAAGCGACUACUACUCCAUGUAGACUAUCCCUUGGUUUAUUUAUUUAUUAAACGACGAGGAGGAUCUCAACUUCGACUGUUUUAUUUUGUAUUGUGCAAUGAGAAAAUCCCAACAAGGAUGUUACAUUAUUCGGAAGAUGAUGUAUUGAAGGCGACUGAUGAAGUGUCUAAAGGGAUUCCUAUAGCUGCACAAUGAAAAUAUUUUUAAUGUUACUUCAAACUAUAUAUGUUAUUAAUUAUCUAUAAGUGUAUUAAAAGUGUUAGAUAACUGUACAAACAAUUUGUGUUAUGUAUUUAUUGAUGUAUAUCGUUUAUAUUUUAUUUUAGACGCCUGUCAAACACACUGGAGCAAAGUUUCAACGUUUAGUAGUGGUUGACACGUAUGUCAAGCACUCGUAUAAAUGAAUAUAUUUUAAGCCUUUAUUUCGAACAUUUGGUAACGACGGAGAACGAUGGUUUGGAUGACUCUGUAUUGUGCAAUGAGAAAAUCCCAACAAGGACAUUGUUACAUUAUUUGGAAGAUGAUGUAUUGAAGGCGACUGAUGAAGUGUCUAAAGGGAUUCCUAUAGCUGCACAAUGAAAAUAUUUUUAAUGCUACUUCAAACUAUAUAUGUUAUGAUCGUAUGGCAUUUAAAUUUCAUUUUUCUAUAAGUAUCUUGCAAAGAUUUAUUAUUAAUUUUAAUAAAAACA